CCAGACUCCUACGGGAGGCAGCAGUGGGGAAUAUUGCACAAUGGGGGAAACCCUGAUGCAGCAACGCCGCGUGAAGGAAGACGGUUUUCGGAUUGUAAACUUCUAUCAAUAGGGAAGAAAGAAAUGACGGUACCUAAAUAAGAAGCCCCGGCUAACUAUGUGCCAGCAGCCGCGGUAAUACGUAGGGGGCAAGCGUUAUCCGGAAUUACUGGGUGUAAAGGGAGAGUAGGCGGCAAGGUAAGCGAUAUGUGAAAGCCUUAGGCUUAACCUGAGGAUUGCAUAACGAACUAUCUAGCUAGAGUACAGGAGAGGAAAGCGGAAUUCCUAGUGUAGCGGUGAAAUGCGUAGAUAUCAGGAGGAACACCGGCGGCGAAGGCGGCCUGCUGGACCGCGACUGACGUUGAGGCUCGAAAGCGUGGGGAGCGAACAGGAUUAGAUACCCGAGUACA
rnacentral:rRNA from 1 species